GCAUCUUAGUACCCGCAGGAAGAGAAAUCAAUAGAGAUUCCGUUAUUAGAGGCGAUUGAACGCGGAUCAGAGCAAACUGAAUCCUUCGGGGAGAUGUGGUGUUAUAGGGCCUUCUUUUCGCCUGUUGAGAAAAGCUGAAGUUGACUGGAACGUCACACUAUAGAGGGUGAAAGUCCCGUAAGCGUAAUCGAUUCAGGUUUGAAGUGUCCCUGAGUACCGUGCGUUGGAUAUCGCGCGGGAAUUUGGGAGGCAUCAACUUCCAACUCUAAAUACGU
rnacentral:rRNA from 1 species